rnacentral:tRNA from 1 species
GAGGAAGGCCCGAGGCAAUAAGUACUGCUAAUCCUUAACCCCACGGUUAAACUCCGUGGUUUCCUCGCGCUUUCAAA